CCAACUCACUUUUAUACAUUACUAUGGUUCUCCUACCUACUCUCUAACUCCCUUUAUACAUUACUAUGGUCUUCAUACCUACUCUCUAACUCACCUUUAUACAUUACUAUGUUACUCCUAUCUACUUCUAACUUACCUUUCAUACAUUACUAUGGUUCUCAUACCUACUCUCUAACUCACCUUAUACAUUAUAUGGUUCUCAUACCACUAUCUAACUCACCUUUAUAUUAAUCUAGGUUCUCAUACCUACUCUCUAACUCACCUUUAUACAUUACUAUGGUCCUCAACCUCUCCAACUCACCUUUAUACAUUAUGGUUCUAUACCCUACUCUCUAACUCACCUUUAACAUACUAUGGUCCUCAUACCUACUCUCUAACUCACCUUUAUACAUUACUAUGGUUCUCAUACCUACUAUCUAACUCACCUUUAUACAUUACUAUGGUCCUCAUACCUACUCUCUAACUCACCUUUGUACAUUUUGUUUCCCUCCACAACAGUAGGGAGGAAGUUGCUCYGGGGCAUUUUCCAGCCCUUCUCCUCCUCCUUCAAGAGACAAGAAAUUAAUCAAUCAAUUACUUUACAUGUAUUACAGCUGGACACAGUUUUAAAGCUUUAUAAGUAGGUUCAUUCCGUAUUAUUUUCUCAAAGUCCUAUGUAUUUUAGGAUAGAUGAACAAUAGAAAGGAAUUAGGACCUUGUAGUUUUUUUUUACUAGGCAGGUCAAUUAAGAACAAAUUCUUGUUUUCAAUGACAGCCUAGGAACAGUGGGUUAACUUCCUUGUUCAGGGGCAGAAUGACAGAUGCACCUUUACACAUGCACCUUGUCAGCUCAGGGAUUUGAACUUGCAACCUUURGAUUACUAGUCUAACACUCUAACCACUAGGCUACCCUGCCACCCCAGUUUAAGAUAAUGACAGUGGUCUCAGGUCUUAUGGCUAAUUUAGUGGAGAGAGUUGAGGUUUUCAGAGACUCCACAUGACUUGGAUAGAGUUCAAAGCUGCUCUACAGAUGACCUGCCCUCCGCUGUGCUGUGACACCAGAUCAGAUCCAGAACUAUCCAUGCUGUGAUAGCAGGUCAGAUCCAGAACUAUCCAUGCUGUGACACCAGAUCCAGAACUAACUAUGCUGUGACACCAGAUCAGAUCCAGAACUAUUUAUGCUGUGACACCAGAUCAGAUCCAGAACUAUCUAUGCUGGGACACCAGAUCAGAUCCAGAACUAUCCAUGCUGUGACACCAGAUCAGAUCCAGAACUAUCCAUGCUGUGACACCAGAUCGGAUCCAGAACUAUCCAUGCUGUGACACCAGAUCAGAUCCAGAACUAUCUAUGCUGGGACACCAGAUCAGAUCCAGAACUAUCUAUGCUGUGACACCAGAUCAGAUCCAGAACUAGCCAU
rnacentral:lncRNA from 1 species